UUAAACGCCUACUACAAAGCAUCUUACGGAUGAAGAAACUGAGGCACAGAAAUGUUGGACAGGUAUCCAAAAUAGGACUGGAACACAGAUGUCCUAAUGUCAAUUUAUCUCACUAGGAGAUCCUGAGGAUACAAAGCAACUAUAUGAACUAAAUUCCAAAGACUGACAAACUUCUUCAAGGAAAAAAAGGAACACUUAAAUUUUGCCUUUGUCACAGCACAGAAGGAAGAGGUAACUACCAUUUAAGGUAGGUUUAAAAAAAAGGAGCAAAAUUUUUAACAAAUUCCUAAAGACUAGAUGUGGGCUAGUGUAUCAAUUUAUAAUAAAUGGGAACCCUGGGCCUCUACAAGGAACUUUGCGUUUAUUCCCAAGCUCUUAUGCACCCAGGGACCACAAAAUAGACUGGGGGGAGAAGUUGGAGAGAGGGCAGAGCCCCCUUUGGAGACUCAGUCAUACAGGUAAGAUCAGCUGCACUGGGGGAGUGGUAUGAAACAGAGCCCACCUCCCCAAAACCUUCUCUCUUAACAACAUAAAAGCUGUAAGCAGCUUAAGGGGAGGAGAGCAGUAGCAGAGCUUCUCAUACCAAGAAUCCAGGCAAAGAUCCACUGCUUCUGGCCAGGUGUUGUAGCUCAUGCUUAUAAUCCCAGUACUUUGGGAGGCCAAGGUUGCAGAUUGCUUGAUCCCAGGGUUUUGAGAGCAGCCUAUGCAAUAUGGCAAAACCCUGUCUCUACAAAAAAUACAAAAAUUAGCCGGGCAUGAUGGUACAUGCCUGUAGCCCCAGCUACUCGGGAGGCUGAGGUGGGAGUAUCACCUGAGCCCGGGGAGGUAAAGGCUUCAGUGAGCUGUGAGCAUGCCACUGCACUCCAGCCUGGGGGACAGAGUGACACCCUGUCUCAAAGAAGAAAAGAAAAGAAAAAUCAACUACUUCCAGGGAAAGAAUAGAAACAAAAGCCCCUCAGCCCUCGGAGAGGUAUAAAAACCUCUUGGGCCUGGGAUACUGCAGUAAUACAAAGCAAGGGUCUGCUCCAAAUAGGGAGAAGCUGGAAACUGUCUCCUGCCCAAGACUCAGCACAGGUGUCUGACUUCUUUGAGAGGGGCAUCCAUCAAGAGGAAUACUUAAAAGGCUCCACCCCUCAGGCCCAGGCACACAGGCCCUGCUGAAGACUGCAGAUGGACCAGGAAAACCAAGAUCUCCCUGGUCCUACAAUGAACCUAGCACUAAAUUAGUACAAAUGGCUGUCUACUAGCAAGGGAGGGACAAGAGCACAGAGGGAACCCUCCCCUCUGUGGCACACAUAUUCAGGAACAGUUGACCACUGAAGGUGAACCACAAACAUGAGCCUAAUAUCAAACACAAGGAAAUAGCCAUUCCCUGCCAGAGGCAUUUGAAUCUGUUGUGCACUGAAGACAGAGAUAGCAGCAACAUGGCAAAACCAGCUCAAUGACUGACUUAAUUGACUAAUUCUACCACACUAACAUGCUGACAACAAGAAGAGGUGCGCUCAUCACUGGACUUACAUACUCUUCACCUCACUCUCUGCUGUUCUACACAUAUCUGCCAUUAAAUCAAAAAUUAAAUGAUAUAGUUUGGCUCUGUGUCCCCACCCAAAUCUCAUCUUGUAGUUUCCAUAAUUCCCAUGUGUUGUGGGAGGGACCCAGUAGGAGAUAAUUGAAUCAUGGGGGUGGGUCUUUCCCAGGCUGUUCUUGUGGUAGUGAAUAAGUCUCACAAGAUCUGAUGGUUUUAAAAAAGACAGUUUCCCUGCACAAGCUCUCUUCUCUUGUCUGCUGCCAUGUGAGAUGUACCUUUCACCUUCUGCCGUGAUUGUGAGGCCUCCCCAGCCACCUGAAACUGUAAGUCCAUUAAACCCCUUUCUUUGGUAAAUUGCCUAGUCUCGGGUAUGUGUUUAGCAGCAACAUGAAAAUGGACCAAUACAUUAAACAACAAAGAAAGCAAGAAAAAAGACCUACUGUCAAGUGAUAAAGCAAUAAUUAAAAUCUAAAUUCAGAGAUGACCCAGGUAUUGGAAUUAUUAGACUGGUACUUUAAAAUAACUAUGAAUAAUAUUUUAUUUUUUUGAGAUGGAGUCUGGCUCUGUCACCCCGGCUGGAGUGCAGUGGAAUGAUCUUGGC
rnacentral:lncRNA from 10 species